rnacentral:rRNA from 1 species
UACGAAGGGUGCAAACGUUGCUCGGAAUCAUUGGGCGUAAAGCGCACGUAGGCGGCUCCAAAAGUCGGAUGUGAAAUCCCUGGGCUCAACCGAGGAAGUGCAUCCGAAACUGCGGAGCUUGAGUAUGGAAGAGGGUCGCGGAAUUCCCGGUGUAGAGGUGAAAUUCGUAGAUAUCGGGAGGAACAUCUGUGGCGAAGGCGACACCCUGGACCAGCACUGACACUGAGGCACGAAAGCGUGGGGAGCAAACAGG